UACGUAGGGUGCAAGCGUUAAUCGGAAUUACUGGGCGUAAAGUGUGCGCAGGUGGCUGAGCAAGUCGAGUGUGAAAUCCCCGGGCUCAACCUGGGAACUGCAUUUGUGACUGCAUGGCUAGAGUACGGUAGAGGGGAUGGAAUUCCGCGUGUAGCAGUGAAAUGCGUAGAUAUGCGGAGGAACACCGAUGGCGAAGGCAAUCCCCUGGACCUGUACUGACGCUCAUGCACGAAAGCGUGGGGAGCAAACAGG
rnacentral:rRNA from 1 species